rnacentral:rRNA from 1 species
AACGUAGGACGCAAGCGUUAUCCGGAUUUACUGGGCGUAAAGCGCGGGCAGGCGGCUCGAAACGUCUGAUGUGAAAUCUCCUCGCUCAACGGGGAGAGGCCAUUGGAAACGGUCGAGCUGGAGGGCAGUAGAGGUAGGCGGAAUUCCGGGUGGAGUGGUGAAAUGCGUAGAGAUCCGGAGGAACACCAGAGGCGAAGGCGGCCUACUGGGCUGCACCUGACGCUGAGCCGCGAAAGCCAGGGGAGCGAACGGG